rnacentral:rRNA from 1 species
CCUACGGGAGGCAGCAGUGAGGAAUAUUGGUCAAUGGGCGCGAGCCUGAACCAGCCAAGUAGCGUGAAGGAUGACUGCCCUACGGGUUGUAAACUUCUUUUCUCAGGGACGAAGCAAGUGACGGUACCUGAGGAAUAAGCCACGGCUAACUACGUGCCAGCAGCCGCGGUAAUACGUAGGUGGCAAGCGUUAUCCGGAUUUACUGGGUGUAAAGGGCGUGUAGGCAGGAAAGCAAGUCAGAUGUGAAAACCAUGGGCUCAACCUGUGGCCUGCAUUUGAAACUGUUUUUCUUGAGUACUGGAGAGGCAGACGGAAUUCCUAGUGUAGCGGUGAAAUGCGUAGAUAUUAGGAGGAACACCAGUGGCGAAGGCGGUCUGCUGGACAGCAACUGACGCUGAGGCGCGAAAGCGUGGGGAGCAAACAGGAUUAGAUACCCGAGUAGUC